GGCACCAGCCGUAGAGAGCAACCAGAAUGGGCAGAGCAGAGACUUAGAGCCCAGAGGACUGGAAGACGCUGCCACAGCCGCACGCACUCUAGCCUGAUGCUACAGGCAGAACACGUGUGAUGGACUUCUCAGAGAAAGCCGAAAUCAGUAUUCACAGCUUCUAACAGUAAAUUGAACAUGAAAAAACUCCACUAACUACUGAUCAUUGGACCUGAUUGCUUGUGGUUCUGGGAGAGAGAAGAGACAUCUGCACAGGAAUUGGAGCCAGGCCCUGCCGCAUGCAGCCAUCAGCCUCAAUGUGACACUAUGAGCUUUGGCUGGGAAUAAGACACUACAUCUUGGCUUGGGGACACAAACCUGGAGUACUACCAGAGUAAGGCAACCAACCCAAAAGCUACUUGACAGGGAGAGGAGUCUACCAAAAAGAAACAAAACAAACAAAUUCCCUCCCAAACAAGACAUCUUCUGUAACCAGAAGCACUCCAAGAACAACACU
rnacentral:lncRNA from 1 species